rnacentral:rRNA from 1 species
CAGGGCUUGACAUCUAACUAACCCGAAAGAAAUUUUGGGGUGCUCUUCGGAGAGUGUUAAGACAGGUGGUGCACGGUUGUCGUCAGCUCGUGUCGUGAGAUGUUGGGUUAAGUCCCGCAACGAGCGCAACCCUCGUCGUUAGUUGGUAUUAAUGGUAUACUGUUAAUAACCUCUCUAGCGAGACUGCCGGUGAUAAACCGGAGGAAGGUGAGGACGACGUCAAAUCAUCAUGCCCCUUAUGCUCUGGGCUACACACGUGUUACAAUGGUCGGUACAACGAGCAGCCAACUCGCGAGAGUGAGCAAAUCUCUAAAAGCCGGUCUCAGUUCGGAUUGCACUCUGCAACUCGAGUGCAUGAAGUCGGAAUCGCUAGUAAACGCAGAUCAGCACGCUGCGUUGAAUACGUUCCC